rnacentral:pre_miRNA from 9 species
AUAAUUUAUUUACAGCAGCUCCUUCUGGACCCUGCUUUCAUUUGGUGCAUAGAUUCGUGAACAUUUCUAGCACCAUUUGAAAUCAGUUUCCAUAAGAAGAGUGAUAACAACAGUAAAAU